rnacentral:rRNA from 1 species
GACAGAGGUGCCGAGCGUUGUCCGGAUUUACUGGGCGUAAAGAGCGCGCAGGCGGUCGUUCAAGUCGCGUGUGAAAGCCCCCGGCUCAACUGGGGAGGGUCACGCGACACUGAUCGACUCGAAGGCAGGAGAGGGUAGUGGAAUUCCCGGUGUAGUGGUGAAAUGCGUAGAUAUCGGGAGGAACACCAGUGGCGAAGGCGACUACCUGGCCUGUUCUUGACGCUGAGGCGCGAAAGCUAGGGGAGCAAACGGG